AUCAGGUAGGGAUACCCGCUGAACUUAAGCAUAUCAUAGGCCCGGAGGAAA
rnacentral:rRNA from 1 species